rnacentral:rRNA from 1 species
UACGGAGGGUGCAAGCGUUAAUCGGAAUUACUGGGCGUAAAGCGAGUGUAGGUGGUCGAAUAAGUCGGAUGUGAAAGCCCUGGGCUUAACCUGGGAAUUGCAUUCGAUACUGUUUGGCUAGAGUCUGAUAGAGGGAAGUGGAAUUCCAGGUGUAGCGGUGAAAUGCGUAGAUAUCUGGAGGAACAUCAGUGGCGAAGGCGGCUUCCUGGAUCAAGACUGACACUGAGGCUCGAAAGCGUGGGGAGCAAACAGGAUUAGAUACCCUGGUAGUCCACGCCCUAAACUAUGUCAACUAGACGUUGGGUUCUUUAAUGAACUUAGUGUCGAAGCUAACGCGUUAAGUUGACCGCCUGGGGAGUACGGCCGCAAGGUUGAA